rnacentral:rRNA from 1 species
GACGAACGCUGGCGGCGUGCUUAACACAUGCAAGUCGAACGGUAAGGCCCUUCGGGGUACACGAGUGGCGAACGGGUGAGUAACACGUGGGUGAUCUGCCCUGCACUUCGGGAUAAGCCUGGGAAACUGGGUCUAAUACCGGAUAGGACCACUGCCUGCAUGGGUGGUGGUGGAAAGCUUUUGCGGUGUGGGAUGGGCCCGCGGCCUAUCGGCUUGUUGGUGGGGUGAUGGCCUACCAAGGCGACGACGGGUAGCCGGCCUGAGAGGGUGACCGGCCACACUGGGACUGGGAUACGGCCCAGACUCCUACGGGUGGCAGCAGUGGGGAAUAUUGCACAAUGGGCGCAAGCCUGAUGCAGCGACGCCGCGUGAGGGAUGACGGCCUUCGGGUUGUAAACCUCUUUCAGCACCGACGAAGCGCAAGUGACGGUAGGUGCAGAAGAAGGACCGGCCAACUACGUGCCAGCCGCCGCAGUAAUAC